AUUGAAAAGAAAAAUUAGAGGAUUUUGAAUGGAUUUGAAACUCUGGCCUCAGUGGAAGGGCCCCAGGGACACUGGUACUGGUGUCACGGGGUGGCAGGACGAGUCUGCUUCUACCAGUGUGGGGAAAACUCCUAGCUGGAUUCAGCUGCUGCCCCAGGAAGGCACUGCCAGAGGUGAAGAAGCAUUUCUAAGGUGCUGUUCUCCUAGGAACCGGAAACGGACAGGCUGUCAAUGGGAAGCAAACAAGAAUGAGCAAUUGCCAUCUUCCUCCUCCAGCCUCACAUUCACCCUCUACUGCAACCCCAGGGCAGAAAUUUGGUUGCCAUCCCAAUCCCAGUAUCAUGCAGUAAGUCUAGCAGAGGGGGUUUGGAGCGAGAAACAAUGGCUUAAUAACCGGCACACCCAAUUAUGUGCCAAGCAGUGUGCUAAGCUUUACAGGAUGGACAAGGGUGGAGAGGCUAGCAUUUGCCUUCAAGGAGCUUACAGUUUCACGGGGCAGAUAAAGCCUGUGUGUCAAUAGCUGUAACAAGAGUUAAGAUGAGAUACUGCUAUUCCAGGAGUAGGAAAAUGAAAUGCUGUGUGUGGUCAGAAAGAGGAUGAGUCAUUUUCAGAUGGGAUUUGGGAGAAACUUCUUUGGGAGAAGUAUUUUGUUUGGUGACCACUUGUUCUUCUUUCAAGAGUCCUCCAACAGGCCUCCUCAUUUUGAGAAAGCUUCCCUGACCCCAAAGCAAAUGGAUGUUCCUUCCAUUGUGUUUCCAUGAAAGUGGUACCUAACACUUAUCGAACACUUAAUAUGGGCCAGACAGGCAUGAGUCUAAGCUCCAGGUGCCUGGAAACUGCCAGAGUCAGCAUCCAUGUGAUACAGAGCAAAACAGAUUAGCCCUGAGCUAACAUCUGCUGCCAAUCCUCCUCUUUUUGCUGAGGAAGACUGGCCCUCAGCUAACAUCUGUGCCCAUCUUCCUCUACUUUAUACGUGGAACGCUUACCACAGCAUGGUGUGCCAAGCAGUGUCAUGUCUGCACCCAGGAUCCAAACCAGCGUACCCCGGGCAGCUGAAGUGGAAGGAACGUUGGUACCUCUUGGGCUUGCAGAAUGUUCCAGAAAGGAUGGAGAAGGAAAGGAUAAGGGCAGCAGAUACAGAUUUAAGUGGACUAUCAAUUUUACUAACCGCAGACAAGAAAUUACUCCGUUCUGACGGGUGCAGGAAUGAAUGUGGAUGCCUUGGAAAAGAAUGGAUUCCGUGUGAAAUGGGCAAUAAGGUCGGUGGCACUCGAGUUCUGAUUGGAGAAGUCCUCAAACAGCCAAGCCCAGCAGGACUCAGCCAGCCCAGCUGAUGUCACUCAGGAAGGGAGAGCCCUAGGCUCCUGGUGUUCAGCAGAUGGCGGUGACGAUGAGAGGGAGAAACUGACGACUGCAAAGGGCUGUACGACUCAAGGACUGGGAAGCCAAGUGUAAAGGAGAACACGUCGAUUUCUGCUGUGGGUAGGGUCAAUGUGGUCACUCUCCCCAGCGUGCUUGCCUGGUCACUGUCUGAAGAAACCAUACAGUGCUGAUGCAUCACCAAGCCUGAGCCCAGAGGACCCAGCCCCACAGAGCCUCUUCUGUCUUGGCCAGGAGGCAGAUGGCUUAUGGAUAUGGCAAAAAAUUAUGAAGUGAGAAGGUUAUCUACAAGGCUCACACAGCUGGCAAAUGACAUGGCCAUGACAAGAACCAAGACCUUCUGACUUUCUUGGACAUUCUGUUGGCUCUCCAAGAAUAACUGGCUUCCAGAAAAAGAAAGCUGGCUACAGUAUGAGCUGGGCGACAUGCCUUUUAGAGAAACAGGCCCACUGUGGAGUAAUAUUGAAGAUUUAAAGAACGUCCCAACUGCCAGUUCUAUGUGCUUUUUCAGGUAGUGUCCCUUGGGCUCUCCUGACUAAAAAGUGAAAAAUCAAAUGUAAGAUUCGGCGUCCCACAGUGGCUAAGUGCUCUGGGCAGGGAGUUGAGAGUCUCAGGUUCGAAUCCCCACUCGGCCUCUACUUAGGCUCUUCUUAGAGAAGUUUCCUGGUACCAUCGUGUGAACAGUUCAAUAGAUUUUUAUUCUCUCAGAG
rnacentral:lncRNA from 1 species